rnacentral:rRNA from 1 species
UUAGAGUUUGAUCCUGGCUCAGAUUGAACGCUGGCGGCAUGCCUUAUAUAUGCAAGUCGAACGGCAGCGCGGGAGCAAUCCUGGCGGCGAGUGGCGAACGGGUGAGUAAUACAUCGGAACGUGCCCAAUCGUGGGGGAUAACGCAGCGAAAGCUGUGCUAAUACCGCAUACGAUCUACGGAUGAAAGCAGGGGACCGCAAGGCCUUGCGCGAAUGGAGCGGCCGAUGGCAGAUUAGGUAGUUGGUGGGGUAAAGGCUCACCAAGCCAACGAUCUGUAGCUGGUCUGAGAGGACGACCAGCCACACUGGGACUGAGACACGAGCUAGACUCCUACGGGAGGCAGCAGUGGGGAAUUUUGGACAAUGGGCGCAAGCCUGAUCCAGCCAUGCCGCGUGCAGGAUGAAGGCCUUCGGGUUGUAAACUGCUUUUGUACGGAACGAAAAGUCUCUUUCUAAUAAAGAGGGAUCAUGACGGUACCGUAAGAAUAAGCACCGGCUAACUACGUGCCAGCAGCCGCGGUAAUACGUAGGGUGCAAGCGUUAAUCGGAAUUACUGGGCGUAAAGCGUGCGCAGGCGGUGAUGUAAGACAGUUGUGAAAUCCCCGGGCUCAACCUGGGAACUGCAUCUGUGACUGCAUCGCUGGAGUGCGGCAGAGGGGGAUGGAAUUCCGCGUGUAGCAGUGAAAUGCGUAGAUAUGCGGAGGAACACCGAUGGCGAAAGCAAUCCCCUGGGCCUGCACUGACGCUCAUGCACGAAAGCGUGGGGAGCAAACAGGAUUAGAUACCCUGGUAGUCCACGCCCUAAACGAUGUCAACUGGUUGUUGGGAAUUCACUUUCUCAGUAACGAAGCUUAC